CCUACGGGGUGCAGCAGUGGGGAAUAUUGGACAAUGGGCGAAAGCCUGAUCCAGCCAUGCCGCGUGUGUGAAGAAGGCCUUCGGGUUGUAAAGCACUUUCAGUGGGGAAGAAAGCCUUGGGGCUAAUACCCUCGAGGAAGGACAUCACCCACAGAAGAAGCACCGGCUAACUCCGUGCCAGCAGCCGCGGUAAUACGGAGGGUGCGAGCGUUAAUCGGAAUUACUGGGCGUAAAGCGCGCGUAGGCGGUCUGAUAAGCCGGUUGUGAAAGCCCCGGGCUCAACCUGGGAACGGCAUCCGGUACUGUAAGGCUAGAGUGCAGGAGAGGAAGGUAGAAUUCCCGGUGUAGCGGUGAAAUGCGUAGAGAUCGGGAGGAAUACCAGUGGCGAAGGCGGCCUUCUGGACUGACACUGACGCUGAUGUGCGAAAGCGUGGGUAGCAAACAGGAUUAGAUACCCGUGUAGUC
rnacentral:rRNA from 1 species